rnacentral:lncRNA from 1 species
UUGGAAACUAAAAACAUCAGAAAGAAAGAAUAACAAAAAAGAAGGUAAAAAAAACAUGGUCAAUUUGGUAAUACUAUGACAUAAAAAAAUAUAAACAGUCAAUACAACCAAAUCUAAGCAAACAAACACUUGAAGGUUAACAAUGCCUCUACAAAUGUGGUGGGUCCAAAGCAAGGUUUAGCUUAAUCCCAAAAAUUAAAAAAUUGAAUAGAUAGGAGUUAGAUUUCAAAUCAUUUAAUGUGCCAC